rnacentral:rRNA from 1 species
GACGAACGCUGGCGGCGUGCUUAACACAUGCAAGUCGAACGGUGAAGCGCCUUCCUUUUUGGUGGGUGUGGAUGAGUGGCGAACGGGUGAGUAACACGUGAGUAACCUGCCCCCUUCUUCUGGAUAACCGCAUGAAAGUGAGGCUAAUACGGGAUAUUCUGGGUCUGUCGCAUGAUGGGUCUGGGAAAGAUAUUGUUUCGGUGGGGGAUGGGCUCGCGGCCUAUCAGCUUGUUGGUGGGGUGAUGGCCUACCAAGGCGGUGACGGGUAGCCGGCCUGAGAGGGUGGACGGUCACACUGGGACUGAGACACGGCCCAGACUCCUACGGGAGGCAGCAGUGGGGAAUAUUGCACAAUGGGCGCAAGCCUGAUGCAGCGACGCCGCGUGAGGGAUGGAGGCCUUCGGGUUGUGAACCUCUUUCGCCAGUGAAGCAGGCCUGCCUCGUUUGUGGGUGGGUUGACGGUAGCUGGAUAAGAAGCGCCGGCUAACUACGU